rnacentral:rRNA from 1 species
UAUAAGCUGGCACCUUGACGGUACCUUACCAGAAAGCCACGGCUAACUACGUGCCAGCAGCCGCGGUAAUACGUAGGUGGCAAGCGUUAUCCGGAAUUAUUGGGCGUAAAGCGCGCGCAGGYGGUUUYUUAAGUCUGAUGUGAAAGCCCACGGCUCAACCGUGGAGGGUCAUUGGAAACUGGGGGACUUGAGUGCAGAAGAGGAAAGUGGAAUUCCAAGUGUAGCGGUGAAAUGCGUAGAGAUAUGGAGGAACACCAGUGGCGAAGGCGACUUUCUGGUCUGUAACUGACACUGAGGCGCGAAAGCGUGGGGAGCAAACAGGAUUAGAUACCCUGGUAGUCCACGCCGUAAACGA